rnacentral:rRNA from 1 species
AUUGGCUACCUUGUUACGACUUCACCCCAGUCAUGAAUCACAAAGUGGUAAGCGCCCUCCCGAAGGUUAAGCUACCUACUUCUUUUGCAACCCACUCCCAUGGUGUGACGGGCGGUGUGUACAAGGCCCGGGAACGUAUUCACCGUAGCAUUCUGAUCUACGAUUACUAGCGAUUCCGACUUCAUGGAGUCGAGUUGCAGACUCCAAUCCGGACUACGACGUACUUUAUGAGGUCCGCUUGCUCUCGCGAGGUCGCUUCUCUUUGUAUACGCCAUUGUAGCACGUGUGUAGCCCUACUCGUAAGGGCCAUGAUGACUUGACGUCAUCCCCACCUUCCUCCAGUUUAUCACUGGCAGUCUCCUUUGAGUUCCCGGCCGAACCGCUGGCAACAAAGGAUAAGGGUUGCGCUCGUUGCGGGACUUAACCCAACAUUUCACAACACGAGCUGACGACAGCCAUGCAGCACCUGUCUCAGAGUUCCCGAAGGCACCAAUCCAUCUCUGGAAAGUUCUCUGGAUGUCAAGAGUAGGUAAGGUUCUUCGCGUUGCAUCGAAUUAAACCACAUGCUCCACCGCUUGUGCGGGCCCCCGUCAAUUCAUUUGAGUUUUAACCUUGCGGCCGUACUCCCCAGGCGGUCGAUUUAACGCGUUAGCUCCGGAAGCCACGCCUCAAGGGCACAACCUCCAAAUCGACAUCGUUUACAGCGUGGACUACCAGGGUAUCUAAUCCUGUUAAU